rnacentral:lncRNA from 1 species
UCCAACUUUGACACUGAAUUCUUUUCCUUGCAGUGGGGACAGGCUGGACUCAGCUAGUCACAUUCUCAAACAUUCUCUUUUCUGAUCCAUUCUAUUGAUUCCAGUCCAUUUAUCUCAAGUCCAGUCAACAAGUAUUUGCUGUGUAGCUAGCCCAGAGAGAGUAAAAGAGAAGACACAAAAGAAUAAGUAUAUAAUCAAGUGUUAACCUGAGUAUAAAUAAAUGACUUACUGUAUUGCAGAGACAGUAGAUGAUAAAAAGGAAAUGGGUACCUGUAGUUGCUAAGCUUUGUUGGAAGUUACAAAAUUGAGCAAAAUUUGCACCAUAUUGGGGGCAGCUGGGUAGCUCAGUGGAUUGAGAGUCAGGCCUAGAGAUGGGAGGUCCUAGGUUCAAAUGUGGCCUCAGACACUUCCCAGCUGUGUGACCCUGGGCAAGUCACUUGACCCCCAUUGCCUAGCCCUUACCACUCUUCUGCCUUGGAGCCAAUUGGCUCCAAGGCAGAAGAGUGGUAAGGGCUAGGCAAUGGGGGUUAAGUGACUUGCCCAGGGUUACACAGCUAGGAAGUGGCUGAGGCCAGAUUUGAACCUAGGACCUCCCAUCUCUAGGCCUGACUCUCAAUCCACUGAGCCACCCAGCUGCCCCCUGCUAUAAAUAUUUUUGCACAACAGGUCCUUUCUGUGAAAGGGAAUUCUUCAUUCUCUUUGUCUAUUCUGAGUUUACACUUGUGAAAAGGGAAUCCCUUAUUCUCUUUGCCUAGUUGGAGUUGACACUUUGGUUAACAUGAACAUAAUUACCCCUGCUUAGUACCUCACUAGAAUGAAGACAGGAUAAACUCUCCUUUCUACCUUUUAAAUUGAAUCAACAAAUGAUUGAACACCCUACUUAGUGCUAGGUGAGAAGCCAGCAAGAUACUUGGAGAACUCCACCCUUUUUUUAACUUGAUCAGAAACUUGUGAAUUCUUUUAAGAGUUCACACAAGAGUUCACACCCUCAGAAACUGUUCAGUCAGGAAACUGAAUCUUUUUGAUGAGAAAUUGACCUUCAGAAGGUGAGAAGUUGAUCCCACAGACAGUUCCCCCUGGGCAAUGCUAGACAAUUUGGAAACUGUGAUUAGCCCCUGUGAAGAGGGGAGGAAACAAGAAGUCACCAUAAAAGCAAGCCUGAACUCCCUCAGAGUAGAUGGUCUUUG